rnacentral:rRNA from 1 species
CUGAACCAGCCAAGUAGCGUGAAGGCUGACUGCCCUAUGGGUUGUCAACUUCUUUUCUAAAGGAAUAAAGUCGGGUCUGUAUACCCGUUUGCAUGUCCUUUAUGACUAAGGAUCGGCUAACUCCGUGCCAGCAGCCGCGGUAAUACGGAGGAUCCGAGCGUUAUCCGGAUUUAUUGGGUUUAAAGGGAGCGUAGAUGGAUGUUUAAGUCAGUUGUGAAAGUUUGCGG